rnacentral:rRNA from 1 species
AUUCAUGGCUCAGGACGAACGCUGGCGGCGUGCUUAACACAUGCAAGUCGAGCGGUAAGGCCUUUCGGGGUACACGAGCGGCGAACGGGUGAGUAACACGUGGGUGAUCUGCCCUGCACUUCGGGAUAAGCCUGGGAAACUGGGUCUAAUACCGGAUAUGACCUCAGGUUGCAUGACUUGGGGUGGAAAGAUUUAUCGGUGCAGGAUGGGCCCGCGGCCUAUCAGCUUGUUGGUGGGGUAAUGGCCUACCAAGGCGACGACGGGUAGCCGACCUGAGAGGGUGACCGGCCACACUGGGACUGAGACACGGCCCAGACUCCUACGGGAGGCAGCAGUGGGGAAUAUUGCACAAUGGGCGAAAGCCUGAUGCAGCGACGCCGCGUGAGGGAUGACGGCCUUCGGGUUGUAAACCUCUUUCAGCAGGGACGAAGCGCAAGUGACGGUACCUGCAGAAGAAGCACCGGCUAACUACGUGCCAGCAGCCGCGGUAAUACGUAGGGUGCAAGCGUUGUCCGGAAUUACUGGGCGUAAAGAGUUCGUAGGCGGUUUGUCGCGUCGUUUGUGAAAACCAGCAGCUCAACUGCUGGCUUGCAGGCGAUACGGGCAGACUUGAGUACUGCAGGGGAGACUGGAAUUCCUGGUGUAGCGGUGAAAUGCGCAGAUAUCAGGAGGAACACCGGUGGCGAAGGCGGGUCUCUGGGCAGUAACUGACGCUGAGGAACGAAAGCGUGGGUAGCGAACAGGAUUAGAUACCCUGGUAGUCCACGCCGUAAACGGUGGGCGCUAGGUGUGGGUUCCUUCCACGGAAUCCGUGCCGUAGCUAACGCA